AGCAGGAUCCAGGCUCUGAGCUGUCAGCACAGAGCCCGACAUGGGGCUCGAACUCAAGAGCUGUGAGAUCAUGACCCCAGCCGAAGUCGGACGCUUAACUGCCUGAGCCCCCCAGGCACCCCUCUCUUGCACUUCUAAAUCAGAGACUCUGUUCCUUUCCUAGCUUAAUCAGAAAUGAGCACCCAGGAAUGAAGUGUUUGCCAACCAGCAGUGUAACUGAAGAUGUGUUUAGUACUCGGUAGAGAAAGUGAGUCAUUCUUCCUUAUUUUUGGUUAGUAGAUGACGGGACGAGACAAGCAGGGAGUGCGGGAGGCAGCGCCUUAAGUAGGAAAAGGCUGUUCCUUCGGACAGUCCUGCAGGUGUUUGCGGAGGUGGAGGAAGCCUCGGGCACGGCCGUGCACCCUCCACACUCCUUCCUGGUGUCCCAGGGGCCUCAGGUGAAGUCAGGACUCUCGGGCCCGUGACGUGGCCCGGGUGCGUGGGAUGCUCUACCCUACAUGGGCCGUGGUGGCACGUGACUGAGGCCAAACACAUUCGUUCAUCAACCAGGGAGACCCUGUCAGGAGCUUGACUUAAAGUAACAUUUUCAAAAGUUGAAAGCAGAGGAAGGAAACAGGCAGGUGGCCUUUGGGAGCCCUGAAGGAAGCGUCUCCUCUCAUCAGAAUGACAUCGUUUUGUUGUUCUUUCCUCUCUUUUCGAUAAACACACACUUGCACGCACACAUCCAGCCUCUGUGGCUCCCCGAGGAAAGUGCUUCUGGGACCAGAUGAAAGGGAUUUGCGGAGCAGUCGGCCCCACGCGUGUGUCCGUGUUGCCCGCGCCUGAUCCCAGGGAGUCGGCUGCAUCUCGGACAUCUUCACACCUGCCAGAGGCCCCUGCAGCGGUGGCAGUGAGAACACUCACGGGCACCCCCGAGACAGUCUGCGUGUCAACACUGGCCCUUCCUCAUUCGCGGGACCGAAGACUGACUGAUUAGACGGAGAUGAGCGCCAGGAAGCGCGAGUGGGAGUGCUGGGGGGAGACAGGAGGACAGUGGUCCACAGCCGUCGUGGGCGCCGCUGGCAGAGCACCUGGGAGUGCCCAUCGCCACUCUCUCUCCAUUUCGUAACUCCAAAAUGUGCAAUUCUUCUCUUAGUUCCGGGAGCCCCUUCCCAGGUGUGAGCCUAUCAGUCAAUCGAUCACAUCUCAGCGAGUUCUUGUCAUUUCUUAUCCGCACGGAUAUCGCAAGGAUCCCAGGAUUUUUGAGAAAAGGCAACUUUUAAAAUUGUGUUUGUGACACCUGAAUACGUCCUGCACUCCUCUGCAGACGUGACCACCGCUUGUCUGUGCUUUUGCGAUUUCAUCGAAAUGGAUCUUGCGAUUCUCACCCGCGGCUGCUUUUGUUCCCUUAUCGUGCGGAAGGGUUCCUGCUUCCCGCUGCUGCUGGAGGCUCUGAACCUCACGUGGCAGCAAGUGCUCACUGAAGUCCUUCCAGGGUCAGGAGCCCCUGCCCCGAGGAAACCAGGAACUGGUAGGAGAGAGACACAGAUGGGACUUGGGAUAAAACUGUUCGGGAGACGCCUUGGGCAGAGCACCGGCCGGGCAUCCUCUGGCGUAGCAGGGUGGGACGGCCUGGACGUGGCUCAGCCUCUGUGUCACCAGGGCCGGGCCCACGGGUGAGCAGGCACUCUGGGCGUGUGCACGACUGACCAGACAUUGGGGGACAGAGGAGGAGGAUGAAACGGGGCCACGAAGGCAGACGAGGCCUCCAGACAGCAGCAGAAGCAGGUGUAGAGACUUCUGCUCCCGGAAGACGGGGGGUGUGUCUCCCACCCUCCUGCUGAGUCCAACCGAAACCCUGGGCUCGGCACUUGAUAGCCACGUGAGGAGACACUGAGGGACAGGAAGGCAGACGGGGUGGGGCGCAGGGGAGGCUUGAGCCCCAGCUGUUCUGUGCUGUUCCCUUCAGACAUCCCAACCGUCCCAGAUGAGAACCAACAUGAGCCAGAAAGGGGCAGCUUGAAAGAGAAGCUUUUAGACCCCGACCGCCCCACCCCAUCCAAACACAACAGACAAACGCAGCCACAAUCAACAGCAAAGGCUGAGUGAGGAGCCCUGGUGAGCAGAGGCCACGAGGGGCUUGGAUAUCUGCCCUGUGCCCGAGUGCUAAGGUGGACAGUCCCCUGGGGUCAGUGGAGCCCACGCCCUCCAGCCAGUAGUAAGGAGCUGCACGUGGGUACCGAUGUGCGUGGCAGGCAGGCUAAAAGUCAGAGUGCACACGAACACGGAGCGCGACCACGUGCGUGAGAUAAAGAAGAAUCGGGCCACGGGGUGGAGUGGCCGCCCAAUGACAAAAUGGUGACCCCCGAGACACUCUUGCACGUACGCAGCACCACGGAGCAACAGCGUGCGUGAGCCAACCUCUGCGCGUGGAACCAACCGGGUGGGAUCCACACACGGCCCGCGGAACGGGAGACCCCAUGGCACCGUGACCGGCAGGGCCCAGGUGGCAUUUCCAGAACAGCCCCCCACAGCAGAGCACACGCUCUGUUCAAGUGCCCACGGGACGCACGUGGGACAGACCACCUUCUGCCACCGCAGGCCUCAACAUGUGCUUGCAGCCUGAAAUCCUGCUGUGUGUUUUCUGAUGGUGUUUCUGGUGCCUGAGGUCAAAGUAGAGAUUGGUACAGAGAACCCAGGAAAACCUCCAAACACUCGGAGGUAACACCCUUCUAAAUAAUCUCCAAGGGACAAAACCAACCCCGGCCAGGGUGAAAAUAAAGCACAGUCCAGGACAGCACUUGGGGUGGGGUGGGAUGGGGUGCCGGGUGCGCCUCGGUCAGUCCUCUGGGCCCCAUGCCUUGCAGCCCAGGACAGACAGAAAGAAGGAAAUAAUCCAGACAGGAAGGGAGUCCAUGAAGCUGGAACAACAGAGAAAAAUCAAUGAAAUUAAGAGCAUGGUCUUCCUGUCACAGUCUGCUGGGGACUCAGUCAUCCUGUGGCCCUCCCCCACCAGGUCCUGGACCCACCCCCAGGGGCGCCUGGCCCUUCUCCACUGAGUCUUGGUCCGUGGCUCUUCUCUCCCGGGUCCCGGGCCCCUGGCACCUCCCGUGUCCCCAUCUGUGCUCCAGGCCUGUCGGGGCUCUGCGGAUCACCUCCGGUUCUCCGUGGCCCAGCCUGCUAAGCGUGUCUUCCCGCUUUGCAGGGGCCUCUCCUCCCCAUCUGCCUUACAUGCUCACCGGGCCAUCCCAACGCCCCCAUGCCAAGUCUAAGCGACGGUCAACACAUGUUCUCUCUUCCUUGGACUUGAAAUCUGUCAAACUUCAAGGGGCAUCCCCUCCGUGAUAUUCUCUCUUCUUGUCUAAAGGGCUACAUGGCUUGUAGCUUUCAUGUUUAAGUGCUUUUUGUAGGGUCCAUAUUGUUCUCCACGAGCAUCCUGCCUGAGCACUGGGUCCACAGUGAGGGCAUGAACCCACUGGGUCUUGGGGUGCUCGAUGCUAACAGAGGAGCCUCAUUUACCCAGCUGACAACAAUGUAAAGUACAGUACCGGCCAACUUCUCAUUUUAAUGAAUGCUUUUUCUAAUGGUGUUGAAUCGCCAACCUCUGUGAAGCUGCCAGAAAACAUUAUCAUCUAUCACUUCCACUUAUUUCCUGAGUGACAAAGCUACCACUUUGUCACCAUCUGGACUUGUAAACAAACGCUGACUCUUCCCGUGUGCUCCUCUUCGGAGACGAAGCCGGCCCUGCCAACAGUGCUCCCCAUACCGCACCACUCGGCCCCCGCAGCCAUACGGUCAGGUUGGCACUGGUCAUUAACUACCGUGUUCCCGCUAUCAGCGGCACCCACCCCAAACAACACGCGCCCGGCAGUGCCGGCUGGGAAACCCCGCUUCAUUCUGCCAGUGAGGCGGUGCGGUCUGGGGGCAGUGGUGUGUGUCGGGUGCCGCCGACCGGACCCCCCUCCACAGCCUGCGGGGCACCGGGAAGACUCUUGGUGGAAAGGUCUGGACUUAGGUUUGUUUAAAAAAACAGCUCGGAGCCUGGAGCCCGCUUCUGAUUCUGUGUCUCCCUCUCUCUCUGCCCCUCCCCUGCUCACGCUCUGUCUCUCUCUCAAAAGUAAAUAAAAAUGUGUAAAACAACAACAACGACAAAAAAUCUACAUGACUACAAGUCAGAAAGUUGUUCUAGCAAAAGCCAGCCCCUACUUCCAAAUAAUGCAAAUUUUUCGUUCGAAACACAAUCCGUUCCUGCAAAAAGCAUAUCAGCGUGAAGGUGGUGGUUUCUGAGUUCCUUAAUCAUCCUGACUUUUUUUGUGCACAAUUUUGGUUUUCACACUUUUCCUUGAACAACAUAUGGUACGUUGUUGUGUUUCAACAUUAAGAUUGUUAAUCUGUUUUAAAUGAUAGGAUAUUCUAUCUGUACCAGAUAAGUAUUUGAAACUGAACACUGGUAUUAAUUAUCAAAGUAAAUGCAUGUACUUACACAUACCUCUCCCCCAUUUCAAUCUAAAGACCAACAAGUUUCUAUGGUAAACAAUUACUCACAACCUCCCUGUCCGGGGCUCGACCCUGGAACCACCCUUCCAUCAUGAGGGUUUUAAUUAGUUGCCAGAUAAGAAAACACAACUUCUCAGUGGCAGUUUCUUAUUUGACAACAAAAUAAUGUUUUCAGUUUUUUGUUAAGUGUCUUCAGUAGAGAUUACACAAGUGGCCCUUUUCAGCCAAUUCUUGCUUCUUACAGCCACCACACGUGUGCCGAUUUACAAAAUGCAUCUCUGUCCUCAGUGACCUCUGGAGGAGCAGGGCUGUGCAGGCCCGGACCAUGGACACAAGGCUUGAAAAUCCACAGCCAGAAGGACCUGACCAGUCUGUGGCCAGACUGGGUCCUCGGGAUUUGCUCUCUUCAUCACAGAUCCAGAGGGGCUGACUUGGGUCCUUUCUCGACACCAGUCCUUUCUUUAGGGACCCCACAACACCAGGGCCUCUAACAUCUGGCCCCCAUCAUGCUGGCAAGACUCAACAUCCAACACUGACCCUAACCCUGAAUGUUCAGCUACCCUCGUUUAUUUAGCAGCACCUUCAAGCAAGUUUCAGCAAAUCUAAAGGUGACCAGAAGUGUCGACACACUGGAUGCUUAUUACUUUUCAGCAGAAGCUGGGCACUCGAAACAAAGGAAGUAAACUGCUACCACUAGGGGCCUCUGAGGCCUCAUGGGGUGUCAAGGAGCAGAGGACCUCCCCCGUUCUGGGUUUUCCUCUGUGGUUCCAUCCCAGGAACGCCUCAUCCACUGGGAAACUCACGUGUAGGCAUAACAUGUGGGCAGCGAGCAAAGGCUCAGAGACCUGAGAGGUGCCCCUCGGGGAGGUGGGACAGGAUCCCAAGAGGGGCUUCUACAAUGGGCAGCAGCCGUGAUGGCACCCAGAGAAUCCGGCAGGUGCGGCCUCCCACCCUUGCACACGCCGCUCAGCCCAGGAACAGACUGAUAGGAUGCGUGUGUGUGUGGGUGCGUGGGGGGUAUGGGUGUACAGAGAGAGGUUUAUUAUACGCUGGCUCGCACGGAAAUCCCACGGUCUGCAUCUGUAAGCUGGGGACCCUGGAGAGCCAAUGGUGGACCAAGCCCCAAAGGCCGAGAACCAGAGCACUGCUGUCCCAGGGCAGGAGAAGCUGCCAAAAGAGAAGCUGCCUUCUUCCACCUUCCUGUUCUAGUCAGGUCCCCGACGGACUGGGGACUGGAUGAGGGCCAUCGACACUGGAGAGGGCGGUCUGCUGUACUCCGUCUUCCAGAAACGCCCUGGCAAACACACCCGGAGAGAUGUUUUACGAGCUGCCGGUAUCUGUGGCCAGUCAGGCUGACACAUGGUGUCUAUCAUCACAAGGCUCCCUGGGCUCAGAGGCUCCUGCCUUCUUCCUCAGGGUGCGGCUGGGACUUGUAGCUGGAGGUGAGGACGACCAGAACGUGGCCCAGGAUGAGGGUGUUCAGGGCAUUUUCGAGGACCUGCUUUGUAAAUGGGCGGACGAAGUGUUUUCCAGUGGCCCCGGACUUGUGCAAGUCUGACCCUGGGGUUUGGGGUGCAGCCCCACAGCCCUUGGGAGGCUGAUGCCCCCGGAUCAUUGGCUGAUUCCGAAUAACAAGGAAACUGAUGAGCUAAGGAAUACCAGAGAUGAAGGAGUCUCUGGGCAUCGGUCAAAGAGUGGGUGGUUCGAACGUGGAAAAGUGCAGAUGGCCUCGUGAGGAAGAGGGAGAGCGAGCGUGGGAUUCCUGGGGAGUGGGCUGGCCACGCUUUGCUCCAAACCCCUAUCCCAGCAGCCACGGGCCCAGGGCAGGUACGGCUAGAAACCUUUCUUCCACUUUCCGACGAGCCACGGCAUAGGCAGCAAAGCACACAGCUCCCUCUGAGUCCGGGAAGGACGUGUCCCCGGGCGCCCCCACCUCUGCAUCCAGCUCCGCACAGCACUCGGAUGUUCCCUGUCGCUUGUACGGAUAAACCAUCGCAUAUGCACUUUAUUAGUCAAAGACUCUCAACUAUCUUAAGGACGAACUUUGUUACAAAGAAUAUCCCAUUCCUAAGAUUCCAACUUUGGUUCCUAAAAUAACUUUUACAAGACGAAAACUGUCACAGCUUCUUUGUAUCAAGUACUAUGUUAAAUCUCAUAUUUUCUCCAAAGUGAACUAAGGGGGGGGUGGGCCACAGAUUCGGGCAAAAGUCCACCUCCCCCCUCCUAUUACACAUUUUUACUCAAAUUAAGUUAUAUGUUUUUUCUCUGCUUCUGUUUUCAGAUAUCUCCAACAGGAGGAGAAGGAGGUGCUGGCCUCGCUUCCCCGAGGAUGCCAGAGCACAAAAGCGGGAGCAGGCGUCUUGCCUCCCCACCGCGUCUCUCUCCCUCUGCCCAGGUCCAGUUAGACGGGUUCUGUCGGGAAGACGGCACUAAAAACUUGGCAAGGGGCAGGUUUUUACCAGCCUCCCCAGCCUCCCUCCGGGUGAGGAGGCCGGAUCAGAGUCAGGAACUGUUUUCGCCCAUGUCAGACACAUAUAUGACCGUGGGGACAACUCUGUGAGAAAACGCUUCUUAGAAUCCUCUCUAGUUUGAAAACGUACGAUGUCACAGCUUUUUAAGACCCGAUGCAGAUGAAGGUGGGUGAUGGGCAUGGCGGGGGGGCUUCCUACCAGCGACCGACUCCCGGAAGGCACACCCAGCAGGCGAGCCCUCCAGGCCAGGCCAAGAGAGUCAAGCACAAUCCCAGAAACAUGCAAGGCUGACAGGACCCCUGUGACCUAAUGGCACCACUGGGACACAAGCUGGAGCCGCUGGGCUAAUGGCCGACCUCUGGGCAGGAGCUUCACCCUCCGCAUACAGUUGUCGAAGAAUUCUGAUGAAACAAUUAGAAAUAUUCUUGUUUUAACUGGCAGACUAGCAGACUAUUUCUUAAUUUGCUGUUGCUAUUACAGAAAGAUCGUGACAAAAAUAGCUGUUACUAAGGUAGCACUACACCAUGGCUCCUUCACUUCUGCGGACCCCUGGGGCCGUGACAAGGGGGACGCAGGUGGGGUUAGGGCCAGGCCUAGUGGGCAGCACCUGACGAGGUGGUGUCCUCAGACCAGCGUGUUCCAGGUGGGGGUCCUCUCCCACUCGCCCACAGAGUGUUCUGACGUGGUGCUAGGUGAGGGACGGACCCUCGUGGGGAGGAGGGGGAAGUGAGGGGCAGGGGUGGAGUCCCUCAGAGCAAUGAGACAGACGAGAAAGGCCAAGGAAUGCAGAACAGUACAACCAGCUGUGGAAGAUGGUGUGCCUGUUUCUAAAGAAACGAAACAUUCUCACCACACAAUCCAGCAAACACACUCUUUGGUUUUAUCUAAAUAACUGGAAACUUGUUUCCACACAAAGUCCUGCACAAGGAUAUGUAUAGCAGCUUCAUUCUGAACUGCCGAAACUUGGAAGCAACCAUGAUGUCCUGCAGAGGGGGAUGGAUUAAUAAACUGUGGUUCAUGUAGACGAUAUUGUUCAGCACUGAAAGGAAACACAGUAGCAAGCCAUGAAUAGACACGGAUGAGCCUUGAGUGCUCAUCACUAAGUGGAAGAAGCCAGUCUGGAUGAUUCCGGCCAUCGGACACUCUGGAAAAGGCAGAACCGUGGAGAUAGGAGACGACGACCAGGGGCUGAGCGGCUGGGGGAGGGAGGGACGAACAGGCAGAGCACAGGGAUCCAGGGCAGCAAGACUCCUCUGGCUGUAGGGUUACGUUGGAUACGUGACAUUGUGCGUUUGGGAAACCCCACAGAACAGCACUGAGAGCAAACCCUACUGGAAAUUAGGGGCUUUGGUUAAAGACGGCAUCAGCUCAUCAACCCUAACAAAUGCACCACAUUAAUACGAGAUGUUCUGGUAGGAAAAACAGUGUGUGUGGGGUAGGGGUAUAUGGGAAUUUGCUGUAUUUUCUGCUCAAUUUUUCUGUGAACCUAAAACUGCUCUGAAAAAAUGAAGUCUAUCAAUUUUUAAAACAUCUGAAAACAUAAAAGGCUAAAAAUCAUUCUAGGACUCAGACGCAAAGCAAACCAUUCCCUUGGUGUAAACAACCAUUUUCUUUAAAAUAAACUAUGCCUUAAUAAUUAAAUGCUGCAGACCAGCUACAGGAAGUGCCUGGAAGUCUCUACAAGGUGUGGGUAUCACUCUCGCAGCCCCUAGACAGUUACCCUGGCCAGCUGGGCUGGUGGGCACCCCAACCCAAGAGCCGGGAAGCAGCAGGGCUGUGUCGGGGCUCUCAGCCUCGGGCAUCCGUCAGGAGACCCUGGUUUGCUCUGGAGCCAGGGGGUGGUCACUCCCACACUAGCACCUGCCCGCUCUGUGCCCACAGCCUCUGUCUGCCUCACAGGGCCCACAGCCUGCAUCGAGGCCAGAGAAGCCAGCAGUCGGCAGCAAUUGUCAAUCAAUGUACGACCAGGGGUGGGAAAGGGUCCAGACUUUCCACUCGCCAGGAGCGGCCCUGGUGUGACGAGGGAGAGUCCACAGCCGACGCAGCACUGAGAAACCGAAAACACUUCUUCUGUAAACUGGGGCAAAGUUUAAGACCUGUCUUCCUGUUUUAAAAAAUGUUUGUUUGUUUAUUUUGAGAGAGAGAAUGAGAGCGAGCGAGUGGGGAAGGGGCAGAGAGAGGGAGAGAGGAUCCCAAGCAGGCUUUGCAGUCAGCAGAGAGCCUCAUGCGGGGCUCAAACUCAUGAACCAUGAGAUCAUGACUUGAGACGAGAUCAAGAGUCGGGCGCUCAACCGAAUGGGUCACCCAGGCGCCCCUUCCUUCUAAAACAAGGCACAGCAGCCCUCCAGGAUACAGGAGGGGAGGGGACGGACAGAUCUAGAAGUCACCACAUGUUCUGCCUGUCUCCUGUCCUGCAACGGAAACACUUUUGGAGCUGGCUCCCCUUUUAGAGCCAGUCUGGGCCCCCAGAGGCCACCAGGGCCCCAUGUCCCUAUAGCCCCAAGGAGCACGGAUGCCUGCCACCUGUGCGUCUCACCUGGAUGAGGAGCCAAAGGGACAGAGCACAAGACGCAGUUUGUUGGCCUGAAAAAGAGGCAAGACCCUCUUCUCACCCCAUGCCUGUGGUUUCCCUGACCUGGGACGGACCUGGCUGGGACGUUGGCAAGCCGGCCAGCACUAGGCUCCCGGAGCCCAGACCCUCCCCCACGAAGGGGAGAAGCUGCAAACACAGUCUCUUCUGCGGGACCUCCGUCCCUGGUGCCCUGGAAAGUUCCCAGCUGCCCCCUGCCACUCCCUGGUUCCUGCUGCCCAGCACUUGGGACACACCGCACGCCUCUUCUACCUGAUGGCCGGGGGGUGACGCCCAAGGAAAGCACCUUGCUCCCCUCACCCGUCACACUGAGCAGCUACCUCGGGGCCAAGGAAGGAGCUGCCUCGAGCCCCCCCACACGGUGCAGCUGUCUGCCAGAGGCCCUCAGUAAAUACUUCUGCAAGCACAGAACCCGUACACCCUUCCUCACCAGCAUCAGUCCUGAAGCACCUUUGGGCAUGCUUCAAUAUUUAUGGCAUAAUUUGCAAAGACAGGAGCUAACAGGAAAGUCAAAGCUUGACGUUUACAAAACAGAGUAACCGCUUAUUGAAUUAAUGUGAUCAAAUGCAUGCACUUUUAACUGUAAAAUAGUUGCCAUUGACUCCCGGCCACCCGUCUGCUCAGCUCACAGCUCCUUUGGAGUCUGCAGGAGGCACACUGGCCAGGUGGCACCUGCUCUCAGGAGCUCACGGUUCCACACGUAGUUCCCGGCCCAGUCAACUCCAGGACUAGAAGUGUCUACAGGGACAGACAGGCCACAGCAGCGGUGCGACGGGGGGACAGCCCCUGGGGAAGCAGACCAGGAGGGCAGACCGGCCCAGGGGCCAGCCGGACAGCUUCCUAGCUUCAGCUUCCCCCGACUCAUUGGGACGUCAGGGCCUGUCUUGCCCACCAGCUCUGGGCGAUGGCAGAGCAGCGGCCGCGGCUCCCGGUGCGUUCCUACCUGGGAACACGCACACCCGUGGCACACGGUCUCCUGUCGGUCAUCAGGACGGGGCAGCGGGUAAGGGGGAAAGUGAAUGUUGUCAGUCUUGCUGCUUAUCUGGCAAAAAUAAAGCUCUAGCCAACCAGCAUGUGUGUCCCGUAUGGCUGCUCUUUUGCUGGUGGCUGUGCUUUAAUUAAUGCCUUUUCUUCUCAUUUCAGAAAUAAUACACGCUCACUGCUGUAUUUUCUAAUACACACUAUACUGCUGUAUAGUGUGAUGCUUUUCCCAUUAAUGCCAUGGUUUGGAAACAUUUGGUCAGUAAAUAUUCUGCUUCGAGAUA